GGAAGCCCAAGGGGAUUCUGCUCAGAUAUUUACUGUGAGAACUCCACCAAGUUCUUAGAGGUAAAACUCACAUAAGUUUGGGGCCCUCCCUAAGACUUGGUCCCCCUGCAGUUUUUAACUUUCAGACUUGUCCACAUUGAGUCUUCUUUAAUUCAUUAAUCACAGUGCAGGUUUUCCUCCCCCUGCACUGGUUCCCACAGCAGUAUCCACUGAAGACUGCUCAGCUCCUGGUAACUGUUACUGAGCCCUAAAGGACCGGUGAACCGCAAGUGGGUCCUGUUUCCCAGAGCUGCUCGCGCCAGUAGAAGGAGACCGGGUUCAGAGCAGCAGAGCGCAAACUUUAUUCGUUGAUCAAUGAAUGGAGGAGGCAGAGCUCAUGCUCUAAAAACACCGUCUCCUCCAAGGGAAGAAACGAGGUCAUUAUGCCUAAGGAUUCAACUACCACCUGUAUUAUGCACGAUGACUCUCCAACCUAUACGUCCAUCCAGACCUCUCUGAUGAGCUGAGAGCAACAUCUCCAACUACAUUCUCAACAGCCACACCAACUUGUGACCUCCCUGACCAAUCUGCUUCUCAAAGCUGAAACCCGGGCGUCCCUCACUUUGCAAUCCAAUGGUUACCAAGUCAUGUUAUCUGUCUCCUCCUUUGCACUUUACUUGGGGCCUUGAUUGCCUCUUUACUGGAUUAUUUUAACACUCUUUUUACUCAUCUCUUAGGACCCAAACUUCUUCCUGCUUCAAGUCUAAGUUCUAAAAUAUGGCUAUGAUCACAUCAUCUUUCACUUCUACUUCACAUCCUUCAAUGGUUUCCAAUAACCUACAGGAUGAAGUUCUAAGUCCUCAGUAUGGUGAUCCAUGCCACUGAUGAUAUGACCCCACAUGGCCUCUCCAACCUCAUUUCUGACCACUUUCUAAUUGCUAUCUGGUGUUCCAGUAUCACAGAACAUUCACUGCACUUCCCUGAAUCCAUAAUGUGGUUUAACACUUGCUGUUGCCUUUGACUGGCAUGUCCUUCCCUACUGAUAUACCUGGAGACCACCCGCCCUUCAACCCAAAGCUCAGGGCUUACUUCCUUGCUGAGAUGUUCUCUGACUCCUUCCCCUCAUCCUUUCCACGGCCCUUCCUCUUGGCUAUCACUGUGCCUUGCUUAUGCAUUUCUUUUUGUUCCUGUCUCGCAUGACUUUCUUUAUUCAUGUAUCUGAAUCCCAUCUUUGUGUCUUAUCAUCUUUGUGUCAUGAGUACUUAACACAAGGCCCUCACAAUAGACACGCCUAAUGAUAUUUCUGAAUGAACAAAUGAAUGAAUGAAGGAGCCAUACUAGACAGAUGGCAUCUGUCCUAUUUAUGAUCAAAAUUACCCCCAAGGAGUUGUAAUUCUUUGAUGAGUUUCUCAUUCCUCUCUUCAAAUAAGUUUCUAUCUUCCGCCAGCUGCUGAAGCUCUUUGAAUGCUUUAAAAUGCAGAAUUCAAAAUUGGCUGCCAAGAAAUGCCACUUCAUUUCCUUUCUAGAAUAGCAUAAUUUUCCCCAUGACCCAGACAAAACAGCAACCCUUGGCUAAUGUUUCAUAAAAAGGGAUUUUUUUUCAGGGAAAAGGGGUUAACUAGAGCGGAAUUUAUCUUGGCUCAUUUCCGCGAUGUUUGCUCCCUAGGUGUUCCUGUCCAGGUGUGAGGACUCUUUCCUGUCUAGACACAGGGGCGGGUCAUUCCAGGUCAGGCUUUUAAUCUGAUGGUGACCCCACCUCAGGAAGUGCCAGGACCCUGUGAACCUUGCAGGCUCCCACAAUGUAGUCAUAGAUCUAGGUGAGGACCACAAUUUACAAGGCGUUUCUCUCUCCAACAGAGAGCAGAUUAGUCAUCUUUCUAAAAAUAGAAGGAGCAGGCACACAGGGGCACUUGUCUUCACUGGGAGCCCAGCCAGCAAAGCCCGUAGACCGACUGGAAGAGUUGGGUUAAGAUGAGCCCCGGGGGCGGUCCUGAGAUUACCCACAGUUUGCCCAACGGUAGUGGGGCAGGCGCCAGGGGCAGAAAAGAGAAACCAGAUACCACUUUUUUGAUGCCCGAGGUUUUCUCUUCUGGUGUGUCCCUGGAUAUAUCACCUCCCCCUGCUCCUGGAGGCGGGAGGACAGAAUUAACAUCCACUUCAUCCCUACUGGGAAGCAGGAAGUGUGUUAGAUGCUUUUCUUUUUUGACUUGUUUUAGUUUUAUUUGCAUUCUUAAAUCUCCAUUUUGCAAGUGAGGAGUCUGAGGAUCAGCCAGGCCAAGUAACUCGCUUGAUUCUACACAACUAGUAAGAUAGAGCUGAAAUGUUAUUCUGGGUAGAUGUUAUUUUAAAGCCCAUGCUUGUUCCACUUAUAUUGGUGCUGUGAGAGAAAAAC
rnacentral:lncRNA from 1 species